rnacentral:tRNA from 1 species
CGCGGGAUGGAGCAGUGGCAGCUCGUCAGGCUCAUAACCUGAAGGUCGCUGGUUCGAAUCCAGCUCCCGCAACCA